GCAGACACAUUCCAGCCAAUCAGCAGCAGACCCUCCCUCCCAGACCCUCCCACCUCCUGGACAGCAUCCAUUUUGAAGCUGCAUUCUUAGUGAGCUGUCCAGGAGGUGGGAGGGUCUGGGAGGGAGGGUCUGCUGCUGCUUGGCUUAAAUGUGUCU